rnacentral:lncRNA from 1 species
AUUUUUCGUAUAAUUUGAUUUGAUAAUACAUUUGAAGGCGACCCUUUCUAAGGCAAAGGGUCAUUAGAUAUAGGAAGAUUGGUAUGAGUGCCAAUGAGACAACUCUCCAUCCAAAUAACAAUUUAUAAAAGUAGGUCAAUGUACGGCCUUCAACACGGAGCCUUGGCUAUCACCGAACAAUAAGCUAUAAAAGGCCCACAAUUACUAAUGUAAAACCAUUCAAA